rnacentral:rRNA from 1 species
GAUUAACGCUAGCGGCAGGCCUAAUACAUGCAAGUCGAACGGCAGCACGGAUAGCAAUAUCUGGUGGCGAGUGGCGCACGGGUGCGUAACACGUAUGCAAUCUACCCUUAACUGGGGGAUAGCCCCGAGAAAUCGGGAUUAAUACCCCAUAAUAUUAUGAUGAGGCAUCUCAUUAUAAUUAAAGUUCCGGCGGUUUUGGAUGAGCAUGCGCGACAUUAGCUAGUUGGUGAGGUAACGGCUCACCAAGGCUUCGAUGUCUAGGGGUUCUGAGAGGAUUCACCCCCACACUGGUACUGAGACACGGACCAGACUCCUACGGGAGGCUG